UACGUAGGGGGCAAGCGUUGUCCGGAUUUAUUGGGCGUAAAGAGCGUGUAGGCGGCCAGACAGGUCCGUUGUGAAAACUAGAGGCUUAACCUCUAGACGUCGAUGGAAACCGUCUGGCUAGAGUCCGGAAGAGGAGAAUGGAAUUCCUGGUGUAGCGGUGAAAUGCGCAGAUAUCAGGAAGAACACCCGUGGCUAAGGCGGUUCUCUAGUACGGUACUGACGCUGAGACGCGAAAAGCGUGGGGAGCGAACAGG
rnacentral:rRNA from 1 species